CGCCCUUCUGGAGAUGGCAUUCCUCCAAACAACCGCCGGCUGUCCUGCCGGCUGAUGAUGCCUACGAGUUC
rnacentral:ncRNA from 2 species